UACGUAGGGUGCAAGCGUUGUCCGGAAUUAUUGGGCGUAAAGAGCUCGUAGGCGGCCUGUCACGUCGGCUGUGAAAACCCGGGGCUCAACCCCGGGCCUGCAGUCGAUACGGGCAGGCUAGAGUUCGGCAGGGGAGACUGGAAUUCCUGGUGUAGCGGUGAAAUGCGUAGAUAUCUGGAGGAACACCGGUGGCGAAGGCGGCGUCCUGGACCAACACUGACACUGAUGAGCGAAAGCCAGGGGAGCAAACGGG
rnacentral:rRNA from 1 species